UGGUUGGCAGCAAUAGAUAGAUUCGCCGCGGUAGAUAGGUUGGCAGCGAUAGAUUAGCAGCGAUAGAUUAGCAGCGAUAGAUUAGCAGUGAUAGAUAGCUUAGUAGUGAGGGAUAGCUUAGCAGCGAGGGAUAGCUUAGCAGUGAGGGAUAGCUUAGCAGCGAGGGAUAGCUUAGCAGCGAGGGAUAGCUUGCAGCAAUAGAUAGGUUGGCAGCGGCGAUAGCUUAGCAGCGAGGGAUAGCUUGCAGCAAUAGAUAGGUUGGCAGCGGCGAUAGCUUAGCAGCGAGGGAUAGCUUAGCAGCGAGGGAUAGCUUGCAGCAAUAGAUUGGUUGACAGCGGCGAUAGCUUAGCAGCGAGGGAUAGCUUAGCAGCGAGGGAUAGCUUAGCAGCGAGGGAUAGCUUAGUAGUGAGGGAUAGCUUAGCAGCGAGGGAUAGCUUAGCAGCGAGGGAUAGCUUGCAGC
rnacentral:sRNA from 1 species